rnacentral:rRNA from 1 species
GAUGAACGCUGGCGGCGUGCCUAAUACAUGCAAGUCGAGCGAACAGAUAAGGAGCUUGCUCCUUUGACGUUAGCGGCGGACGGGUGAGUAACACGUGGGUAACCUACCUAUAAGACUGGGAUAACUUUGGGAAACCGGAGCUAAUACCGGAUAACAUUUGGAACCGCAUGGUUCUAAAGUGAAAGAUGGUUUUGCUAUCACUUAUAGAUGGACCCGCGCCGUAUUAGCUAGUUGGUAAGGUAACGGCUUACCAAGGCAACGAUACGUAGCCGACCUGAGAGGGUGAUCGGCCACACUGGAACUGAGACACGGUCCAGACUCCUACGGGAGGCAGCAGUAGGGAAUCUUCCGCAAUGGGCGAAAGCCUGACGGAGCAACGCCGCGUGAGUGAUGAAGGGUUUCGGCUCGUAAAACUCUGUUAUUAGGGAAGAACAAACGUGUAAGUAACUGUGCACGUCUUGACGGUACCUAAUCAGAAAGCCACGGCUAACUACGUG